GGACUAUCCGCCUGGGUACUACGAGCUUUAGCUUAAAACCCAAAGGACUUGGCGGUGCUUAAGAUCCACCUAGAGGAGCCUGUUCUAUAACCGAUACCCCCCGUUUAACCUCACUCUUUCUUGUUCAUUCCGCCUAUAUACCGCCGUCGUCAGCUCACCCUGUGAAGGCCCUGUAGUAAGCAAAAUUGGCACGACCCAAAACGCCAGGUCGAGGUGUAGCGUAUGAAAGAGGAAGAAAUGGGCUACAUUUCCUAA
rnacentral:rRNA from 1 species